AGCUUUGCGCAGUGGCAGUAUCGUAGCCAAUGAGGUUUAUCCGAGGUGCGAUUAUUGCUAAUUGAAAAUCCAUGUAAAUGAGAUUGUCUCCUAAAUUGGGUGAUUUAUUUAUUUGUUUAUUUGUUUGUUUUUUAA